rnacentral:rRNA from 1 species
AUUAACUACCCAUAACAUAAUUAAAAGGCAUUCUUUUGAUAAUUAAAACUCCGGUGGUAUAAGAUGAGUGUGCGUCUGAUUAGCUAGUUGGUGGGGUAACGGCUCACCAAGGCAACGAUCAGUAGCUGGUCUGAGAGGAUGAUCAGCCACACGGGCACUGAGACACGGGCCCGACUCCUACGGGAGGCAGCAGUAGGGAAUAUUGGACAAUGGGCGCAAGCCUGAUCCAGCCAUCCCGCGUGAAGGAUUAAGGCCCUCUGGGUUGUAAACUUCUUUCUUUGGGAAUAAAAACUCCGUUUCUACGGAGCUUGAAGGUACCAGAGGAAUAAGCACCGGCUAACUCCGUG